rnacentral:snRNA from 1 species
AUCGCUUCUCGGCCUUUUGGCUAAGAUCAAGUGUGGAGAACACUGUUCUAACCAUUU